rnacentral:tRNA from 1 species
GCGGGCAUCGUAUAGUGGUUAAUAUUCGAGUUUUCCAAACUUGCGACGAGAGUUCGAUUCUCUCUGCCCGCACCA